CUUUGUGCUAUAUUAAUGCUAUUUUUGAAUUAAUUUGAAUUCCAUCAUUUUUGAAAAUUUGUAAAAAUGAGUUCCGACAAAAAUGAUGGAAAUGGACAGGGGGACAGAAGAGAAUCUUCCGAAGAAGAUCCACAACGGUCCAGACAUGCGCCUUAUGACAUCAGGCGAUUUUUGAGGAGGCGAACGGGCACAGGUGGUCGACCAAGACCAGCCCGGGGAGCACAAAGAGAGGCUCCACCAAUUGGAUUUGAGGAGCAGAGAAGAACCACACGUGAGGAGGUUCGAGCUGAGCCUCCCGUGUUGGGACAGCUAGGACCGUCCGCCAGCGCGGUCUUUCAGGGGCCCUGGGUAUCAGAUGCCCCAGCCACAGAGUCACCUCCUGUAGUGGGAGCCACAAGAACACUACAGGAGAUUCUGGACCAGCUGCCAGAUCCCAUUUCUGCUGUUCCAGAGCAACGGCCACCUCUGCGGGGUGACUCGGAUUUGUUGCAGGAUCAACCUUUUACCAUGAGAGAUGAUCAGUGAUAAGCAACCCGUCCAGUUCUCAAGACGCAGCAUUGUCUCUAAGGUGACAAUGUGCUUCUCCAAGGGGGGGCGUGUAAGACCCGCUCCUCCGCUCCCAACGACGAAGCUUGCAAAACCAGUCAGGAGGGGAAAGGUCACGUGGUAUCCGAGGGGGUGAAAACCAGGAGAGACGAACAGGAAGUGGACUAGACAAGAUAAGGACGAGGGACGACGAGCGAAGAGGAUCCAAGCCUUGGAAAUCGAGGCUUCAUUCUGGAAGCACAAAUACCAGGAUGCCCAAGGCACAAUAGCAACGCUGCAACAAACCAUCCUGCAGCUGGAACAAAAAUCGGCUGUGCAACCGCCGAUUGUGACACGCCCAGCAACACCACAACCGUUGCUGGUUUCAGAACCAGAACCCUUGAGGGUAUCCACGCCGGUAGGGACACCGGAAAGUGUGUUCACAGCGGAAAUGUCUCCCACAAGUGUUCCGCCUCCAUCACCAAGAGCGUCACCCCCCCGGCCACGCAGGCAGCCUUUCCUGCUAGUCCACAAGCAGCGCAACCUUCACCUAGGCGUCUUCGACAAACAGCCACCAGAGCAGCUGCCAGGCAGGCACGAAUAAACAUCAGAAGGUGCCUGGAAAUCGAAGAAGAGCCGGAAGUGAGGGAGAGACUUGACAUUCCACGAGCUACAUUUAGGCGCAUUAUAAGAGAAAUGCUUGGAGAGCUAAAUGCUGAGUUGCGAAUCGAAAAUGACGCUAUUGAGUUGAUGCAGUAUGCUGGCGAAGAUCACAUUGGCC